rnacentral:lncRNA from 1 species
GUCCGUCGCCCAGGUGAGGUCCCUAGUCACCUGGGCGAUGAGGUAUCAAAGCUUGGGCGACCACACUCGUAGCCCAGACAAUACAUGAGGUGUUAUUCUCGCCUGGGCGACCUCCUUGGACCCCUGAGCAAUGACUUUCGUGGACUGAGCCCUGUUUCUACUCUAUUUAAAUUCUUUUGGCCGGACCCUGUUUUGGCAUGCCUCUGACACUAUUUAAAGGACCCUGGGGCUCUAGGUUUUGCAUCCCUG